UACGGGGGGAGCAAGCGUUGUUCGGAUUUACUGGGCGUAAAGGGCGCGUAGGCGGUCGUGACAAGUCACUUGUGAAAUCUCCGGGCUUAACUCGGAACGGUCAAGUGAUACUGUCGGACUAGAGUACAGAAGGGGCAACUGGAAUUCUCGGUGUAGCGGUGAAAUGCGUAGAUAUUGGAAAGACCACCGAUGGCGAAGGCACUCUACUGGGCCAUUACUGACACUGAGAGACGAAAGCUAGGGGAGCAAAUGGG
rnacentral:rRNA from 1 species